AACGAACGCUGGCGGCAGGCUUAACACAUGCAAGUCGAGCGCCCUUUUCGGAGGGAGCGGCGGACGGGUGAGUAACGCGUGGGAACGUGCCCUUUUCUGCGGAAUAAUCAUUGGAAACGAUGACUAAUACCGCAUACGCCCUAUUGGGGAAAGAUUUAUCGGAGAAGGAUCGGCCCGCGUUGGAUUAGGUAGUUGGUGGGGUAAAGGCCUACCAAGCCGACGAUCCAUAGCUGGUUUGAGAGGAUGAUCAGCCACACUGGGACUGAGACACGGCCCAGACUCCUACGGGAGGCAGCAGUGGGGAAUCUUAGACAAUGGGGGCAACCCUGAUCUAGCCAUGCCGCGUGGACGAAGAAGGCCUUAGGGUUGUAAAGUCCUUUCGCUAGGGAAGAUAAUGACGGUACCUAGUAAAGAAGCCCCGGCUAACUCCG
rnacentral:rRNA from 1 species